rfam:Myotis brandtii contig270655, whole genome shotgun sequence.
UGCAGUUCUCGGGUGACGCACCUGGACCCAGAGAGGAGGGAGCCUGAUUCCAGGGUGCGUCACCCGAGAACCGCC